rnacentral:rRNA from 1 species
UUCAGUAGGUGAACCUGCGGAAGGAUCAUUCACACGCAUCCAAUCGAAUCAUGUGAACAGUGUGGCGUGAAUGUCUGCUUUGUGGUGAACAACCUGGGGCAGUCGAUUCAAGGGUAGUGGGGUAUGCAUGGUGCUACGGCGCCCGUGCAUAUCGGCCUGCUACCACGGUGCUUUGCUUCUUUGACCUCGGAUUCGGAGCUUCUUGGGUGGUCUUUGCCACCAAGCUUGCUUUACACAACUUUCAGCGACGGAUGUCUCGGUUCGAACAACGAUGAAGGGCGCAGCGAAGUGUGAUAAACAUUGUGAAUUGCAGAAUUCCGUGAACCAACAGGGUUUUGAACGCAUACUGCGCUUUUGGGAAUUCCUGAAAGCAUGCCUGCUUCAGUGUCUACUUUUUAUCAUGCCAGCGGCACCCUCCCAGCGCCAGCUGGGUACUGCUGUCUGCGCGUGUGUGUGCACCUUAGAGCUCAAAGUUUUUGAGCCUUCGGUGCAUUCAGUGCAUAGGGAUCUUCUCUGGUGAGCAAACAAGUGAGCAUCUCCGUGCUUUUCCUUUGUCUCGCCGGGCGAAGCAUCUCUGCCUCGCAGUUAGCUUCGUGCUACCCCUCCAAGACAUGAAGUUAGGUCAGCAAACCCGCUGAAUUUAAGCAUAUC